rnacentral:rRNA from 1 species
UACGAAGGGGGCUAGCGUUGUUCGGAAUUCCUGGGCGUAAAGCGCGCGCAGGCGGUCCUUCAAGUCAGAGGUGAAAGCCCAGAGCUCAACUCUGGAACGGCCUUUGAGACUAGAGGACUUGGGUACGGGAGAGGUGAGUGGAAUUCCGAGUGUAGAGGUGAAAUUCGUAGAUAUUCGGAAGAACACCAGUGGCGAAGGCGGCUCACUGGCCCGUUACCGACGCUCAGGCGCGACAGCGUGGGGAGCAAACAGG